rnacentral:rRNA from 1 species
UACAGGGGGGGCAAGCGUUGUUCGGAAUUACUGGGCGUAAAGGGCUCGUAGGCGGCCAACUAAGUCACACGUGAAAUCCCCAGGCUUAACCUGGGAACUGCGUGUGAUACUGGAUGGCUUGAAUUCGGGAGAGGGAUGCAGAAUUCCAGGUGUAGCGGUGAAAUGCGUAGAUAUCGGAAGGAACAUCAGUGGCGAAAGCGGCUUCCUGGACCAGUACCGACGUUCAGGCACGAAAGCGUGGGGAGCAAACAGG